rnacentral:rRNA from 1 species
CAGUAGCCGCGGUAAAACGUAGGUGGCAAGCGUUGUCCGGAAUUAUUGGGCGUAAAGGGCGCGCAGGCGGCUUCUUAAGUCUGUCUUAAAAGUGCGGGGCUUAACCCCGUGAUGGGAUGGAAACUGGGAAGCUCAGAGUAUCGGAGAGGAAAGCGGAACUCCUAGUGUAGCGGUGAAAUGCGUAGAUAUUAGGAGGAACACCAGUGGCGAAAGCGGCUUUCUGGACGAAAACUGACGCUGAGGCGCGAAAGCCAGGGGAGCGAACGGGAUUAGAUACCCCCGUAGUCCCUGUCUCUUAUAC